AACAUUGCCUCAUGAAUAUAAAUAUAAGGUACUUCCUGCCCAGUGAAAAAUUUUUAACGGCCGCGGUACCCUGACCGUGCUAAGGUAGCAUAAUCACUUGCCUUUUAAUUAAAGGCUAGUAUGAAUGGAUAAACGAGAAUUUACCUGUUUCAAAUAAAUAAAUAAAAAUUAAUCUUUUAAUGAAUAAGUUAAAAUUAUAAUAAAGGACAAAAAGACCCUAUAGAACUUUAUUUUAAAAAAAUUAAACCCUUUAUAUAUUUUAUAUAAUUUACUAAUUAUACACUAAUUUAGUUGGGGCGACUAUGGAAUAAAAAAUCUUCCUUUAUACAAAAAACUAAUAAGUUUACUUACUGACCCUUCACAAGAUCAUAAGACUAGUUACCUUAGGGAUAACAGACUAAUUUUCCUUAAGAGACCACAUUGACAGGAAAGUUUGGCACCUCGAUGUUGGCUUAGGUGCCCCUUGAAGAGCAACCUCUUCAAAUAUACAGGCAGGCUUGUUCAUCCUUUAAACACCUACGUGAUCU
rnacentral:rRNA from 1 species